rnacentral:sRNA from 1 species
AGGAAAUUUAAACUGAAGCCGCGGCCGAAAACGCCAAGAGAUUGAUACUGUAGCUGCCCCGGGAUAACCGUGGCUGUGGAGUCGGGAAGAGCUCAUGGAGCUCGCGAAUGUAAUACGGAGGUCUCUGAGGAAGGAGUGCGGAGGCCGAGAAGGAGCCGGCAUUUGAUGAGGGAACCGGGAAAGGGAGACGAUUGCCUCGAGCUGGAGAGUUCCAUGGCUGACAGUAGGCUCCGGGCCCCGGACCUAGGAGUUUCCAGGUGUCUAGGAAAAUGCCAGAAGAACUCACCAGGUGCUGGGAAGCAUCCCUUUUCUGGAAAGUCCUUUUACUUGGAUCUACCUGCUGGCAAGAAUCUCCAGUUUUUGACAGGGGCCAUUCAGCAACUGGGUGGGGUAAUUGAGGGUUUUCUGAGCAAAGAAGUAAGUUACAUCGUGUCCAGCCGCAGAGAAGUAAAGGCAGAGAGCAGUGGGACAAGACACAGAGGCUGCCCUAGCCCCAGUGAGGUCAGAGUGGAAACAUCGGCCAUGGUUGAUCCAAAAGGCAGCCACCCCAGGCCUUCACAGAAACCCAUUGACUCGGUGCCUCUAAGCAGAGGGAAGGAGCUGCUGCAGAAGGCCAUCAGAAACCAGGUGAGCUGGGGCAAGAUGGCACAGAGCGGGUGGUCUCCAGCACAGGGAGGGAUUUCACCCUUCUUCCCAGGUUCUUCUGAAGCACCCACACAAAAUGCACACUCUGCGAUGUGUAGUAUUGUCAUUAUUUCCUUCUUCUACAUCAGGUAGUGGAGGCUCAGACAAGUUAUUUAGCCAUUCACCUAGAGAUUAAGUGUUGAAGC